AUACGUAGGUGGCAAGCGUUAUCCGGAAUUAUUGGGCGUAAAGAGUGAGCAGGCGGAUAAUUAAGUCUGAGGUUAAAGAGUGGGGCUCAACCCCAUAAAGCCUUGGAAACUGAUUGACUAGAGUACGGGAGAAGUGAAGGGAAAUCCAUGUGUAGCGGUGAAAUGCGUAGAUAUAUGGAAGAACACCAGUGGCUAAGGCGCUUCACUAGCCCGAAGCUGAAGCUCAGUCACGAAAGCGUGGAUAGCAAAUAGGAUUAGAUACCCUAGUAGUCCGCGCUGUAAACGAUGAUAACUAAUUAUAGCCGCGAGGCAGUGUUGAAGCUAACGCAUUAAGUUGUCCGCCUGGGGAGUACGGUCGCAAGACUGAAACUUAAAGGAAUUGACGGGG
rnacentral:rRNA from 1 species